rnacentral:lncRNA from 1 species
CUUUGCCAAGGCACCUUCUGAUUGGUUUAAUAAAAGACAUAACUGGCCAAUAGCUAGGCAGGGAGAGGUUAGGCAGGAGAGCCAAACUGAGAGGAAGCUGGGAAAGAAGACAGACGGAGUCACAGGAGAUGAAAAUGCCCUGCUGAAAAAGUUAAACUGGAGAAUCCCCUGUGACUUCAGAAGCACCUUUAAAGUAAUGGAAAUUACAAUGUACUCUGGAGAGAGUUAUGAGGAUUUAAUUAAAGUCAGCUUGUCCUACUUUCCAUAGUUUCUCCAGAGCUGAGAAGAGAUGCUCUGUAGAACAAGCUGGACUCAACUCAAAGAGAACCACCUGAUUCUGCCUUUGG